CUCCUUACAUGUUGGAGCUUUAAAGAUACAGCUGUAUCAGGCCAGGCGUGGUGGCUCAUGCCUGUAAUCCCAGCACCUUGGGAGGCUGAGGAGGGAGAUCGAGACCAUCCUGACUAACAUGGUGAAACCCCAUCUCUACUAAAAAUACAAAAAAUUAGCCGGGUGUGGUGGUGUACGCCUGCAGUCCCAGCUACUCGGGGGGCUGAGGCAGGAGAAUCGCUUGAACCCAGAAGGUGGAGGUUGCAGUAAGCUGGGAUUGCGCCACUGCACUCCAGCUUGGGCGACAGAGUGAGACGCCAUCUGAAAAACACAGCUGUAUCAAAUCUGCUUGUGCUUUAGCCAUCUGAGAGAUCUUAAGUGUGCAAUGCAAUGAGGAUGGAGCAAUGUAUACACCAAUCAAGGCAAAGAACAUGUCCAUUACCCCAAAAAUUCUCUUACACCCGCUUCCAGGCUAGAAUGCAGUGGUGCGAUCUCAGCUCACUGCAGCAUUGACCUCCUGGGCUCAAGCUAUCCUCCCACCUCAGCCUUCUGAGUAGCUGGGACCACAGGCAUGCAUCACCCUACUCGGCUAAGUUUUGCAACUGAUCCUGAGCACACGUCUCCAUGGUGGCAUGAGUCAUUGCUUUUUAGAUCACAUUCUCCGAGCAAGAGCCGAGAAAUCGAUAUCUCUCACAAGGUUGUAGACGUGCUGGAAACUGAUUAGUCAUUAACCUAUUGUCACUCCUCCCAGCGCUCAUGGAAGGAGUUGCAGCAUGUCAAUGGAUUUUGAAAGAGUACCAGGAUUAAACUUCUCCAUGGCAGUGGGCAUUUGUGAAAGGUCUGUUCUGAAAUACCAGUACCAUCUUCUCACAUGUUAAGGGCCAAAAAUCUCAGUAAGUCACUCCAAAUCAGGUUUUACAGAUCAUUUUUUGAAAUAUUGAUUCUGGUAUUGUCCCUGAAAAUUUAAUUUAUCAAAUAAGCCAAUUAAGUAGGGUCUUUUAAAGGCAUGUAGGGACAAUUCAGCACUGGAUGGACAAGAAAACGAACAUAUUAAUCUUACAGUCAGCAACGUUUUGUUGAUGCUUUGGAAACUGAACUGCAAAGAAGUACUUAAAUGAACUGAAAGAGUUAAUUUGACUUCUAAGAGCCAUAAACUGGCUUGGGUUGGGUGGAUUCUGUAUUCCCAGACUCUGGUUCAAUAAAAAUGUAAAUG